UACGUAGGGGGCAAGCGUUGUCCGGAAUCAUUGGGCGUAAAGAGCGUGUAGGCGGUUUGUCGCGUCUGCUGUGAAAACUCGGGGCUUAACCCCGGACUUGCAGUGGGUACGGGCAGACUAGAGUGUGGUAGGGGAGACUGGAAUUCCUGGUGUAGCGGUGAAAUGCGCAGAUAUCAGGAGGAACACCGAUGGCGAAGGCAGGUCUCUGGGCUGACACUGACGCUCAUGCACGAAAGCGUGGGGAGCAAACAGG
rnacentral:rRNA from 1 species